rnacentral:lncRNA from 1 species
AAUAACCAGGCUGUAUUAUACCAACGCAGUGGAGAUAAUUACUGGUCCUGAAAGGAACAAUUGAGGCUAUAUUGACAUGGAAACAUCUGUUAUUAAACAUGAUUUAUUCAAGAUGUCUUGUAUAGCUACUCAUGGUGUCCAUGUUCAACAGCUAGGUCAUCUGAUGACUGAAGGUUCAGUGUCAUUAAGCUAUGUAUUGUUUUGUAGUGUGUGUGUGUGUGUGUGUGUGUGUGUGUGUGUGUGUGUGUGUGUGUGUGUGUGUGUGUGUGUGUGUGUGUGUGUGUGUGGCAUCAGAGACAUUCUAUUAUAUGUGUGUAAUCCCAAAGGUCUCUCUACAGUACUGCUAAACAAGAUACCCCUUAUUCAGACACCCCAAGACCUGAAAAUAUGCCUGCUGUGGCAUACAAAAAAAAAACGACUGCAGAAAUUUGACUACGAAAUCUCAACUGAAUUUUCUGUGUUUGCAGAUAUACCAUCUUCUCAAGCCAGAAAAACAAAAGAAACACAGAGAAAUAAUUUGAGUGAGAGAGAUCAGUAGCUGUGUGGGCCUGGACAAGGAGAACAGAUGCUGAGGUUCCAAUGGAGAUGCAGUGGAAGCAUCAAGCAUCAUGUCCCGUGCAGACCAAACCAGACACACAGAGAUGUAAAGCCGUCCACUGUUCUUGUAAUAAAGGUCAAUAGAAAUACCCCACCACAGUCAAGAGGAUUCAGUUCUCCAAUCUACUGAUUAUCACCAAAUGUUUGUGUGGUCAGGUAAGUGGGAGUCUUAACAAGGGAAAGGCACAUUUAUAAGUGUAAAAAAAGUAAUAUAUUUUUUGGAAUAGUUUCAUUAGGUCUUAAUGAAAGAUUUUGAAACCAAUUUUAGGGGGAUAUUGGUUGAGAUCCCAAGGGAUCCUUUGCCGUUUCUAUUUCAGAGUAAAGCUUUUAAAUGUAAAAUCCUUGAUUUGCUCUAGUCUUUGUAUGCGUUUGCACUUCAGCUUCAUUCCCUAACCUAUAAUUUUCAUAUCAUUGAUCGUAAUAACUAUUUUUUAUGUAAAAAAUUAAAGACUGCUACAUGUUUCAGUGUCUUGUGGUACAAAAUUAAAAUAAAGUGAACUUAAUUGAAAAAAGAAAAGCUGCCUCAGUAGUUUUAUUUUUGUUUUUCCAUUUAAAUUAAUCAAAUGAAAGUUUAUCAAUGACCAUACACUGCAUAUUGUAGGUACCAAUGUAGGAUUCUAAUUUGAGCCAGUUUGCUACAGCAAGAAAAUAAUGCUGCAGCAACAGGAAAUUAUUAUGUGGAUUAUAAUUGAACACAACAUUUUUGUAGGGGUUGAUACAUGUGUAAUGUUAGGUCAAAUCAAAGUGGAAACUACAAACUUUAGAAGCAGUGCAGGAAAAUUCGCAUCAACAAAAGAGUGAUCAAAUUAAGAUCCUACAUCUGUAUACAAUAUGAACGUGGGUAAUUUCACACAGGAGGUCCAACAUUUGAAACAGCUAUUCAGAUCAUCUCAGAGUUAUCUUGAAGGACCAGAAAGGAGACAGUUAAACCAAGUGGCCUACGUCUUUGGUGCCAAUUAGGUCCCUGUGUAUGAGAGCAAAGUGGGUGUGGAAGGAAGCUGCUGGAGCUGAAGAAGGAGCUACACACAGGCCUUGUUUUUUAGUGAUCACGCCUCCUAUUGUUUUCCCACAACAGCCGGUUCAUGCGAUGCCCCAAAACCCCCAGUGCGCUUCAGUGCUCUGGCUGAAAUGGGCUCUCUGUUCCCUGCACUGGGCUGCCCGCCUAGCUCCUGCCUCGCCCUGACUGGUAAUGACCUGAAAUUAGGGCCAAGCCAGGAGGGGAGGCCCUGGGCCCUGGUCUGAAAGAAAGGAGGAGAUUAUCCCAUUCUGCCCGGCCAGUCAGCAGUGGUGGUAUUGACCAGGGCCCACCCAGGGAGGGUCCAGUGAGCCGUGAGAUGGCCUGAUAUACAUGCUUAUUGAGCUGGACAGAUUCCCUCACUCUCACCAGGGAUAAACCAAACCGUACAAGACACUUUCUUAAACACUGCUCUGGAGAUUAUAGGAGUGACCCC